GUCAAAAUGGUGUAGUGGUUUGACUGCUAGGUUAGGACUCUGGAGACCAGGGUUCAAAUCUCUGCUCAGCCA